rnacentral:rRNA from 1 species
GUCGAAGCCUGCCCGGCGGCACGACCCGCGAACCGGUGGUAAAGAACGAGCCGGGCCGGCGGCGGGGCUUCGGCCCUCCGCCUCCGGCAGAGCCGCGGGGGGACGCCGGCGGCCUCUCGCCGGCGCGCCCUCCCCGGGUCACCAACGAAACCCCGGCGCGAGAUGCGCCAAGGAUCCAGAGUACAGGAGCACGCUCCCCCGGUCGCCCGGCAAGCGGUGCGAGCGCGGGGCGCGUCCCUUCUCGUCGCGACGAGCGAAA